rnacentral:rRNA from 1 species
AGAGCGAACGCUGGCGGCAGGCUUAACACAUGCAAGUCGAGCGCCCCGCAAGGGGAGCGGCAGACGGGUGAGUAACGCGUGGGAACGUACCUUUGGUUCGGAACAACACAGGGAAACUUGUGCUAAUACCGGAUAAGCCCUUACGGGGAAAGAUUUAUCGCCGAAAGAUCGGCCCGCGUCUGAUUAGCUAGUUGGUGAGGUAACGGCUCACCAAGGCGACGAUCAGUAGCUGGUCUGAGAGGAUGAUCAGCCACAUUGGGACUGAGACACGGCCCAGACUCCUACGGGAGGCAGCAGUGGGGAAUAUUGGACAAUGGGGGCAACCCUGAUCCAGCCAUGCCGCGUGAGUGAUGAAGGCCUUCGGGUUGUAAAGCUCUUUCGCCCACGACGAUGAUGACGGUAGUGGGAGAAGAAGCCCCGGCUAACUUCGUGCCAGCAGCCGC